CCCUGUCAGUCCCCGCCGGCUCGCGAGCGCGUCCACGCAGGCACACGCCGCCCCCGCCCCGCCCCGGGUGGAAGGGUUCUUGCAAAGCGCGGCCCCCUCGGAGGAGCAACAGGAGCCGGCGCCGGGGGCGGGCAGCGCCGCUGUCUGAGCUCCCUCUGCUGCGGGAGGGAAGGGAGCGAGACCAACAAUGACGGCCAGUGUCGCUGUCAACAGUGAACCGGGACGGGAAUCAGAGGGAGCAGCCCAGCGAGCCGCCGCAGCCCGCGCCCCUCGCAGCCGGGCCGUGCGGGGAGCCCGCAGGAAGGGCUGCGUCGUGGCGCCGCGAGUCUGGUUGUCGCUGCCAUUCAGCGAGAUCCAGGUGGGGCGCCCACCCCAGCCGCAGAUUUGCUGCCCAGAACCCCCUUUUCAAGACCUCGCCAAGUCAGCCCGCUCCGCAGGGUCCCAAUUCAAGACGGAAAACUGCACCUGGAGAUCUAAACCCUAGUUCCGCACAGCUCUACGGAUCGAGCGCCUCCGCUUCCUCCCCUGUGAACUGGCUCCCCUUGAAGGAGGUGGACAGGGUAAUCCUGAGGCCCUUCCAGCGCAAAUCCCAGGAUCCUACCUACUGGGCAAAACUAAAUCCAGAAAUCCCUCCGUUUAACCACAGGGUCUGCAGACCUGGCUCCCUGCGCACUGGCACCUCAGGCUAGACAAGGCCAGUGAGUGCAUGUGCAUUGUUCUCUCUCACCAUGAUGAAUGGAUAAAGCAGCUAUUGAGGGCACAGGCAGGAGAAAACUGGGUGGUGAGUCUCCCCAGAGCUCCUAGGCCAGCAAAGAAGGGCAGGUGACCCUGACACUGACAUUGUAGUUCAGGGAAGGAUGUCUCCAUGGAGCUGGAGGCACUGGGGAGGGUGGCAGACAUGGUUGGUUCCCUAGAUCCACUCUCUUCUUUUCCCUUCCUAUCAGAACUGCAAUGCGUUCAAUUUAAACUACCGAUUUCCCAGACUCCUUUGCAAUGAGGGGUGUCCAUAUGACCCAACUCUGGCCAAGGAGAUGGGAACAGAACUGUCCUGAGUGAGAAUUCUAAGGAAGACACAGUAGUAUGUACCUUUUGCCUUUGACUUUUUUUCUCCCUGCUCCUCCCCCUCCUCCUCCUCCUUCUCCUCUUAUUUCUCGGAAACAUGGAUGUGAUGCCUGGAGGGGAAGCAGCCAUCUCGCAACCAGGAAGAAAGAAGUCUCCUACUAAGGAGGUCGGACAGGCGGCCAUCAACGACAUCUGAAUGACUUCAUUGUGGAGUUCUGGCUUCAUGAGAAAAUUCAGCUCCUAUUACAUACAUGUGCAGUAGCUCAUUAUCUGUUCCGUGCAGUUAGCACAGCCCUACCUGAUACGAUUGAGGGCCCAGCUGGGAGGACAGCAUUUCAUCCUGAGAAAGCCCCUCCCCCGGAAGACCUCCCUGCCAGGCACAGCCCCACGGGCACAGGCUGGCACAGCCAGCAUGUCAAGGACACACACUCCACCAGCUCUCCUCUUGGAGUGGGUCCUGCAUGGCCCUUCCCUUCGCUACCUUGAUGCCAAGCCUUAAUUGGGGGGAAGGGAAGAAAGCAGAGGCCGCCAUAGUGGGAAAGUUGGAAAUAAAAUCUCGCUCUGCCUUCCCCCCAGGAAAAAAACAAGCCAUGACAAAGCCUGGAUGAGGUUUGUUUUGAAGUGAAAAAUCCACGCCAGUUCCAUUAGUUUGGAAAACCAGUUGCUGCCUGAAUAACUGAAACCUGUCCUAUAGGUGUGAACUGUCACCUCAAGGUGCUGGCGUCUAAUUGUGAGCACACGUCGGCCAGAGCUGCUGGUUCUCCAGACUGGAGCACGUGACGCCUCCCCCCCAGCCCUUCCACUCUGACAAUAUGCCACCAUUGCCACUCCCAGUGAUGCCCCUGGGAGAACGCCAAGCGAUGCUGCCCUUCGGAGAUAAUGGCGUUGGAAAUGCAAUGCUAAUGGCUCCCCAGACAAGACCAGAAUAGCCUCGCCUCGUGUUCUGCCUUCCUGGCGCACAGAGGCCGCCGCCUGUGAGCACCGCAGGCGCCUCACGCCCGCCCUCCCCGAGUGCCCGGAGCCAGCUUCAUGGCGAGAGCCACCUGUUCAUCAUCAUAGCAUUUUGUCCAACCCGCUGGAUGGGCUCAGAACAGAGGUGCAGCUGAGUGUGGGAGCCGGGAGAACCUGCAGCCCAGCAGGCACCUCCAUUCAGACUAUAAACUCGCUUUGCAAGUUGAUCAUCACCCACGAACUGGGCCAUGUUUGCCAUGCAGUUAAGAUGGAUUUUUAUUUUCUUCUGCACCCCAGCUCCCACCCCCACCCAGAGCCUGAGCUGGUGUUUAAGAAAACAAUAAAAAUGACGUGGGCUGGUGGACUGUUGACCUUCUUUAUAUGGAAGUCACGUGAAGGCUGCAGACCAACUGCCAGGGGCAAGAGGAACGUCCCUGCACUUCUCCCAGGAGGCCUGGCGUCCCUGCGCUGCGCCUGGCGUCCCGGGGCUGCGCCUGGCCUGCCUUGGGAAGGGGACUCAAUUCUGAUGACAGUGGGCAUUCAAGAAGGAUGCUGGGCAGGACUUGUAUCCAAGCUGAGGUGUGGCUGGUGGAGUCGAUGGGUAUCAAGCUCGCUCUUCUGGCCAUUCGCUGGAAUAGCCGUGGACGCACCCUCUCCCUGGCACAUUGUUAGAACCCACAACUGUCCUCCCACGUUGGACUCACAACUUCCUGCUUUAGCCCUGGGAGGAGGGCUGCACCGUUUAGCCCGGGAAUCAACCGAUUGCCUACUCUCAGAUGAUUUUGUAAUACCACCUCUGGGCAGCCAGCUGCUCAGCAAGGCAGAGCGCCUGCUGGAGAGAGACUGGGUGGAGGCGACCCUGACGCCUUGGAUGUCCCGUCCCAGCUGGGACUGAAGGCAGCCCCUGGAGUGAGCCGACCACAGACCUCUCAGCCACCUGCCCGGCUCCUACUCCUCGGACCAGGAGAGCAUCGCGAGGUGGUGCUUUAAACACCAACCGGGGAGCAUUUUGUUUGCAGCAACAGAUGGCUAACAGGAGGCGAUGGGGCCAGCCAUGAGCCAGAUGCUCCAGAGGUGGGGCCUGCGCAUCAGCAUUUUAACAGGCCCCGCUGCCCCUGAGAGGGGACCGAUUGGCUCAGUCCCGUGACCCGUUCUCGGCCCAGGCGGACCAGAGCGAGGCCUCCCGAGAAUGGGUCCGGCCGCUUUCCCUUCCCACUCACCUCUCAGGGUGUCUGUCUCCUACUGAGGCGUGAGAAUCACAUGCUGCCUGAACUCAUGGAAAACAUUUUAAAAUAUUAACUAAGCUGUGGCCCUGUGAGUGCUGAUUAUUCAUGUCCUGAUGAAGGUAAACAGGUGAAAAGCGUCCAAGGCAAGAGGUGGGACUGAUCAGGGACAUCUUCCGGGGGGAGCUGGCCUGGAGCAGGAGGCUGGGCCUGGGGGAGGCCCCGGGCUGCAAGGAGGUGGGCUGGCGGGAAGGCUGGUCUGGCUGGCAGGUUCAGAAAGUCCUGCUGGGGAGGAACAGGGUUUUGAAGUUUCCGUUCAGCCUCCAUUUUUCUUCUCUGGUUCUCCCACCAGCAGAGGGAGAGAGGACUGGCUGGUGCCCAGGUUCCAGGGCCUGUGACAGGCUCCCUCCGGCCCCGCUGCCGGCCCCGCUGUGCUGAUGAGAAAGCUGACCGGGGCCUGGAGAGGGCAGCCCCGGAGCCAAACCAGCAAGACCCAGGGCUUCCAAACCUCACAGCCCAGCCAGCCCCCGCCCCUGUCAUUAGAGCAGGCCUCAGAGACCCCACCCAGCUGUAGCUCCCGUUCUCUCCUAAGGACCCCUGUGCGAGAGGCGCACACUUUGUGCUCCCAGCUGCCCUUGCUGAGGACCGAACAAGAGAAGGGGUGUGGCUUGUAGCAGGAGAGGUCAGCCAGGCAGAGGGAAGACCUCCCGGGUCCCAUGGGCAAAAUGAGCGACGCUGGCCAAUUUAUUCCUCUGGCAAACAUUUCUUGCUCAGCGAGAGGUGACGAUGCUGCCUGCAGCGUCCAGGCCAAAGACAGCUUCUCUGGAGAGGCAGGAGGGGGCAUGACGGUGGAGCCCGUGCCGCUGGUCCUGAGCAGACUCCCCGCUUCCUGGCCUGUGAGGAGCACUGACGAGCUCACAGAAGUCACCCCUUUUCAUCUGCACCACAGCCCCAGGCGCAGAGCCUGGUGUCCCCAAUUCAGAGACAAGGCACCGGAGCCUGGAGAGCUGAGCCGCUUCCCCAGGUGGCUCAGCUGGUCAUGGUGGAACCAGGGCUGAAGUCUGGGUGCAAGACAGGUACUUGGUGGGUGUUGUUUGGGGAAGAUGGACCUCGCCCAUGCUUUCAGAAGUUCUGCACCCCGGGCCUCUUCCCAUGAGCAAUUGUGCUCCGGGGGCUCCCCCCUGCCUGUCCUGUGACUCAGGACCCUCCACAGUCCUGGCCACCCCGCCCCUGCCUGGGGGGGGCCGCCGCCCUGGCACCCACCCUCCUCUGUGUGUCUCUCUGCACACUGGCACCAUUAACCAGGACGGGCAGAAAACUGUUUGCUUUGUCCAGCGAUCCGUUUCGCCAGCCAGAGAGGUGUUUUUCCACUCCGAAGAGGCCGUUUCUCUUCCUCUCCCGUCGUGCACUUCCUGCUUCGUGCCUGGUGAGAUGAUGUUUCUGUCUGUAAUAACGGAAGAGUGUCUGGGGCUGGUAAGAAACAGGGCGCAGCUGGGAACAUCUCUGGCAUCAUAAUUAUUGUCAUCACUUAAGAGCUGCUAAGUGGACCUGAGUGCCUGCUGCAGACGUGGCCGAGCAGGGAGAGAACAAAGUCCAGAAAGAUGGAGCGAGCUUCCUGCCUCCAGGAUGCCUGGAUGCACAUCUCCGCCAGCGCGCCCAACGCCCGGAGCCUGGCGCGCACGGGCA